AUUGAACGCUGGCGGCAGGCUUAACACAUGCAAGUCGAGCGGAGAUGAGGUGCUUGCACCUUAUCUUAGCGGCGGACGGGUGAGUAAUGCUUAGGAAUCUGCCUAUUAGUGGGGGACAACAUUCCGAAAGGAAUGCUAAUACCGCAUACGUCCUACGGGAGAAAGCAGGGGAUCUUCGGACCUUGCGCUAAUAGAUGAGCCUAAGUCGGAUUAGCUAGUUGGUGGGGUAAAGGCCUACCAAGGCGACGAUCUGUAGCGGGUCUGAGAGGAUGAUCCGCCACACUGGGACUGAGACACGGCCCAGAGUCCUACGGGAAGCAGCAGUGGGGAAUAUUGGACGAUGGGGGGAACCCUGAUCCAGCCAUGCCGCGUGUGUGAAGAAGGCCUUAUGGUUGUAAAGCACUUUAAGCGAGGAGGAGGCUACUGAGACUAAUACUCUUGGAUAGUGGACGUUACUCGCAGAAUAAGCACCGGCUAACUCUGUGCCAGCCGCCGCCGUAA
rnacentral:rRNA from 1 species